rnacentral:rRNA from 1 species
GAUGAACGCUGGCGGCGUGCUUAACACAUGCAAGUCGAACGGUGAAGGCGGAGCUUGCUCUGCUGGAUCAGUGGCGAACGGGUGAGUAACACGUGAGCAAUCUGCCCCUGACUCUGGGAUAAGCGCUGGAAACGGCGUCUAAUACUGGAUACGAGCUGCGAAGGCAUCUUCAGCAGCUGGAAAGAACUUCGGUCAGGGAUGAGCUCGCGGCCUAUCAGCUUGUUGGUGAGGUAACGGCUCACCAAGGCGUCGACGGGUAGCCGGCCUGAGAGGGUGACCGGCCACACUGGGACUGAGACACGGCCCAGACUCCUACGGGAGGCAGCAGUGGGGAAUAUUGCACAAUGGGCGAAAGCCUGAUGCAGCAGCGCCGCGUGAGGGACGACGGCCUUCGGGUUGUAAACCUCUUUUAGCAGGGAAGAAGCGAAAGUGACGGUACCUGCAGAAAAAGCGCCGGCUAACUACGUG